UCCUACGGGGGGCAGCAGUGAGGAAUAUUGGUCAAUGGGCGGGAGCCUGAACCAGCCAAGUCGCGUGAAGGAAGAAGGUACUUAGUAUUGUAAACUUCUUUUGUCGGGGAACAAAGGCGGAGACGCGUCUCCGGAUGAGUGUACCCGAAGAAAAAGCAUCGGCUAACUCCGUGCCAGCAGCCGCGGUAAUACGGAGGAUGCGAGCGUUAUCCGGAUUUAUUGGGUUUAAAGGGUGCGCAGGCGGGAGAUCAAGUCAGCGGUAAAAUGUCGGGGCUCAACCCCUGCCGGCCGGUGAAACUGGUUUU
rnacentral:rRNA from 1 species